rnacentral:snRNA from 1 species
GUGCUCGCUUCAACAGCACAUAUACUAAUAAUUGUAAUGAUACAGGGCAGAUUAGCAUGGCCCCUGAGCAAGGAUGACAUACAAAUUCAUGAAGUGUCUGAAAAAAUC